UUAAGUUAAUAAGGGCGCACGGUGGAUGCCUUGGCACUAGAAGCCGAUGAAGGACGUGACUAACGACGAAAUGCUUUGGGGAGCUGUAAGUGAGCAAUGAUCCAGAGAUGUCCGAAUGGGGGAACCCGGCAGGUAAUGCCUGUCACUCAUUACUGUUAAGGUAAUGUAGAGGAAGACGCAGUGAACUGAAACAUCUAAGUAGCUGUAGGAAGAGAAAGCAAAAGCGAUUGCCUUAGUAGCGGCGAGCGAAACGGCAAGAGGGCAAACCGAAGAGUUUACUCUUCGGGGUUGUAGGACUGCAACGUGGACUUAAAGAUUAUAGAAGAACUACCUGGGAAGGUAGGCCAAAGAGAGUAAUAGCCUCGUAUUCGAAAUAGUCUUUAUACCUAGCAGUAUCCUGAGUACGGCGAGACACGAGAAAUCUCGUCGGAAUCUGGGAGGACCAUCUCCCAACCCUAAAUACUCUUUAGUGACCGAUAGUGAACCAGUACCGUGAGGGAAAGGUGAAAAGCACCCCGGGAGGGGAGUGAAAUAGAACCUGAAACCGUGUGCCUACAACAAGUUCGAGCCCGUUAAUGGGUGAGAGCGUGCCUUUUGUAGAAUGAACCGGCGAGUUACGAUAUGAUGCGAGGUUAAGUUGAAGAGACGGAGCCGUAGGGAAACCGAGUCUUAAUAGGGCGCAUUAGUAUCAUGUCGUAGACCCGAAACCAUGUGACCUACCCAUGAGCAGGUUGAAGGUGAGGUAAAACUCACUGGAGGACCGAACCAGGGCACGUUGAAAAGUGCUUGGAUGACUUGUGGGUAGCGGAGAAAUUCCAAACGAACUUGGAGAUAGCUGGUUCUCUCCGAAAUAGCUUUAGGGCUAGCGUCGAUGUUAAGUCUCUUGGAGGUAGAGCACUGUUUGGGUGAGGGGUCCAUCCCGGAUUACCAAUCUCAGAUAAACUCCGAAUGCCAAUGAGAUAUAAUCGGCAGUCAGACUGCGAGUGCUAAGAUCCGUAGUCGAAAGGGAAACAGCCCAGACCACCAGCUAAGGUCCCAAAAUAUAUGUUAAGUGGAAAAGGAUGUGGGGUUGCACAGACAACUAGGAUGUUAGCUUAGAAGCAGCUAUUCAUUCAAAGAGUGCGUAAUAGCUCACUAGUCGAGUGACCCUGCGCCGAAAAUGUACCGGGGCUAAAACAUAUUACCGAAGCUGUGGAUACCUUUAUAGGUAUGGUAGGAGAGCGUUCUAUGUGCGAAGAAGGUGUACCGUGAGGAGUGCUGGAGCGCAUAGAAGUGAGAAUGCCGGUAUGAGUAGCGAAAGACAGGUGAGAAUCCUGUCCACCGUAAGACUAAGGUUUCCAGGGGAAGGCUCGUCCGCCCUGGGUUAGUCGGGACCUAAGGAGAGACCGAAAGGUGUAUCCGAUGGACAACAGGUUGAUAUUCCUGUACUAGAGUAUAUAGUGAUGGAAGGACGCAGUAGGCUAACUAAACCAGACGAUUGGAAGUGUCUGGCCAAGCAGUGAGGUGUGAUAUGAGUCAAAUGCUUAUAUCUUUAACAUUGAGCUGUGAUGGGGAGCGAAGUUUAGUAGCGAAGUUAGUGAUGUCACACUGCCGAGAAAAGCUUCUAGCGUUAAUUAUACUCUACCCGUACCGCAAACCGACACAGGUAGUCGAGGCGAGUAGCCUCAGGUGAGCGAGAGAACUCUCGUUAAGGAACUCGGCAAAAUGGCCCCGUAACUUCGGGAGAAGGGGCGCUGACUGAUGGUCAGCCGCAGUGAAUAGGCCCAAGCAACUGUUUAUCAAAAACACAGCUCUCUGCUAAAUCGUAAGAUGAUGUAUAGGGGGUGACGCCUGCCCGGUGCUGGAAGGUUAAGAGGAGUGCUUAGCGUAAGCGAAGGCAUGAAUUGAAGCCCCAGUAAACGGCGGCCGUAACUAUAACGGUCCUAAGGUAGCGAAAUUCCUUGUCGGGUAAGUUCCGACCCGCACGAAAGGCGUAAUGAUUUGGGCACUGUCUCAACGAGAGACUCGGUGAAAUUUUAGUACCUGUGAAGAUGCAGGUUACCCGCGACAGGACGGAAAGACCCCAUGGAGCUUUACUGCAGUUUGAUAUUGAGUAUCUGUACCACAUGUACAGGAUAGGUAGGAGCCUAUGACCUCGGGACGCCAGUUUCGAGUGAGGCGUUGUUGGGAUACUACCCUUGUGUUAUGGCUACUCUAACCCAGAUAGGUUAUCCCUAUCGGAGACAGUGUCUGACGGGCAGUUUGACUGGGGCGGUCGCCUCCUAAAAGGUAACGGAGGCGCCCAAAGGUUCCCUCAGAAUGGUUGGAAAUCAUUCGCAGAGUGUAAAGGUAUAAGGGAGCUUGACUGCGAGAGCUACAACUCGAGCAGGGACGAAAGUCGGGCUUAGUGAUCCGGUGGUUCCGUAUGGAAGGGCCAUCGCUCAACGGAUAAAAGCUACCCUGGGGAUAACAGGCUUAUCUCCCCCAAGAGUUCACAUCGACGGGGAGGUUUGGCACCUCGAUGUCGGCUCGUCGCAUCCUGGGGCUGUAGUCGGUCCCAAGGGUUGGGCUGUUCGCCCAUUAAAGCGGCACGCGAGCUGGGUUCAGAACGUCGUGAGACAGUUCGGUCCCUAUCCGUCGCGGGCGUAGGAAAUUUGAGAGGAUCUGCUCCUAGUACGAGAGGACCAGAGUGGACUUACCGCUGGUGUACCAGUUGUUCUGCCAAGAGCAUCGCUGGGUAGCUAUGUAGGGAAGGGAUAAACGCUGAAAGCAUCUAAGUGUGAAGCCCACCUCAAGAUGAGAUUUCCCAUGAUUUUAUAUCAGUAAGAGCCCUGAGAGAUGAUCAGGUUGAUAGGUUAGAAGUGGAAGUGUGGUGACACAUGUAGCGGACUAAUACUAAUAGCUCGAGGACUUAUCCAA
rnacentral:rRNA from 1 species